CUUACCAGCUCGUUGCUUUUGUGCCAAAGUCGUUUAAUUGUAUAACUUGUUUUCAUGUAGGCACGAGGUGGCGCGGGGGCGUCCCGGCCCAGAGAACGGUUGUCCCUAAGCAGAGGCCCUCUGCGAUGGUAGCUGCACCGUUGCCUGCCUGCAGCCGUCUUCUGCAGUGAAAAACGGCCUCCCAUCCUCCCGGACGUAGAACUUGCGACUAGGUUGUGAAGUCUGUGGAAGUAAGGAAAAACAACCCCCAAAACCGCCCACCUUGGGGUGGGAGGAGUCGUUAGCCAAAACAACAACAAAAAAAAACCUCUCCAAGUCCUUCUCUGACCCGAUGGUGGCUUACAGCAAAGCAGACUGGUGUGCUAAAUAACUUCGUUGCAGGCAUCUGAACAGCAGUGGAACGACUUUCGACCUGGACCGUGAAAGUGGUAUCUGCACCUCAUCCCUUGCAAUGCACCUCUGCGGCCUGAUCCCAGCAAUGACGCCAUACCAGCUAGGGGGUCCCGGAUCCCCCGAGGAGACUACAGAGGAGAGUCAGCCUGCCUGGCCCCUGCCCAUCACAUGAACUGAGCUGAGCUGCCUGUCGUAGGAACCCAAAGUCCAACCGGAAAAGACGAGAACUAUUUCUGCUACAGGAAAUGUGCCAGAGGUUGCUGCUCUGAUUUGGUCCCACAAGAUCUCCAGGAGGUCAGUGCAAGUUCAGGUGGGGACUGGCCAGAAGAGAGAAGGAUGGCUGGGGUUGAAGAGGAUAUAAUCCUGUUUCCCUCAUCCCGUCUCUGGUGCACCCUGUGGGUCCUGGGAUUUCGGAGCAGAAGCAUCUCUGGCCUGCUUCAUCACCACUGUGGCGCCAGGGAGUUCAUCCCUGUCCGUCUCUAUGAGCCCGCGUGCAGCGGUGAGAGUGGAGCGUCACAGGCGAGAGGGCAAAGGCAGAACAAGGCAGAAGCUGAAGAAAUCUGACUGAGGACCAAGAUUCAGGCUAUGGACAGUGACAUUAAUUAACUUCAGAGUUCCCUUUGCUGGCAAUGGGAAUUUUGGGGGUAAAGACUGUGCUCCCAAGGGUCAGUGAGACCUGAGCAGCCUGGUGUUGAUGCAGCGGUUGGUUUUGUGCACUCCAGGCAUGCAGGGCAAAGAGCUGGCAUGGACCUUCCUGGUCUUGAAGCAUGGCACCUCUCGUGGAGCCCUCCCCAGGCAAAAAGGGAUUUUAUCCUCCAAUGGACCGUCUUGGAGUUUGCCGACAGGAUAAUCAAUGAGCAGUUAGCUUGCUGCUUCCAUCUGGAGAUUUAAUUCCAGUUACCUGUGGAUAGAAGACAUGCAAUUAACAGAACAACUUCUCAUGACUCUGUAAUCCAAGAAUGCCGCUUGCACAAGAAAUCAUGCUGUCAGUUAAUGCAGUGCCACAGGGCCAGGGAGAAAUGGAUAAUGACAUGACCGAUUGCAAAUGCAAGGCAGAGGGGGGCCAUCAGAAUGAAGCAAAACAUUGCACCAAACUCAGCCUUAUUAUUCAUGGCAGAUGCUGGAGCUGCUGAAUGCAGAGAAUUAUUCAGCUCCACUGGCUCUGCUCUGUUGACAGCAUCUCCUGAUUUUAUCUGGAGGGUGCUUCUGGACGGAGACACACAUCGUCUUCGACUCUUAGGCCCAGACAGCAGCAUUGGUGGCUGCAGCCAGCUGGGCUCAGUGCUAAUGUGCCUGUUUUGUCUGGAGCUCGGGCUUUACAGCCUGGCCUGGGGUGAAGGUGGGAGCACAGAGCUGCCCAGGGGCACUGGGAGAGGAGCAGAGUUGGGCUAGGACUGGGGCAGCUGUGGCCUGGGAGCGCAGGACCUGGGGGAGCGAUGAAGGGGAAGGGACCUGCGUCGGGGAGAGGGUCGGGGUCAGUUCAGAGAGCUGCGUUUCCCCCUCCUGCUUGCCCUUUUUUUGUCCAUGGCCUCUCUGCAGACUUUCUGAGUGCUGUUCGCAUCGUACCACCUGGGACGCAGUCGUGCCCCAGCCAUGCAGGAGGCAGAGCAAGCGCGGGUUCACCCCCCAGCAGUCUCCUGCGGCAGAGGCUGAAUUUGGUCCCAAAUGUCCGGGGAUUACUGUGGGGUCUGAAACCACUUUCCGUGCUGGAAACGCUGGAGUUGCGUGGUGGGCGCUGGUGUCAGCAGGGCUCCUGCAGCCACAGGAGGACAGCGAGGUGGCUUGGCCCCUCCAGAGGAGAAGCAGGCAGAAGUGGCUGCAUGAGCAGUGAAGACAAGUGCCCCGGGGAUGCAGGGGGCUGGAGAUGUCCCCUCCACGGUGAACGAGAGACGCCUGCAGGGUCACUGCUGGGAGCGCCCCGCGGGCGCAGAGGGGGCGAGCGGCGGCCCUCCCGUGCGUGCUUCAGCGUCGUGCAGAGGGUGCUGCGGUCCCUGUUGUACAGCUGGGGACACCAAGCUUCUUCCACGUGAACAAAUUAAAGAAUAAAAUGUAAGGAGUAAUGCUGUAGUCAGGAGUGAAAAGUAAAUACAAACUGCUUUAAAAUCUAAAGGGGAUCGGACUGAGAGAUAGACUUGAAAACAGAGGAGAUGGAGCAUUCUCGUGGGGAUGAGGGGAAGGUUUGGAAAAAUAAAUGUUUGCUGGCUGUCAAGGAAGAGAAACGAGGCUAAUUCAACAUAAUUGCGAGCCGUUGGUAAUGGAGCACAGCACGGGCUGCCGGCUCAAAUGCAGAGUUACAGUGAGCUAAAUGGACGCGGGACCCGAGGGCCCUGGGUGCAAUGGCUCUUGCGGCGGGACGUCUUCCUGCCCCGGCUCCGUAGCAGCGGAGCAGCCGUCCCUCGCCCUGGCAGGGCACUGCCGCAGCGACCUGCUGGCUCUGGCGCUCACCCCAGUUCUGUGCAGAUGCUCAGAUGCAGAAAAAUGCUCACUCCAUCUUUCUGUCAAAACAGGAGUGCUUUUAACAAAAACGUGGUGUAUUUUUUCUGCUGGAACAAUAUCUUAACAAUGCCAGAUCUCCCACCUGCUCUGCUGAAAUGGUGGCGUAAACAUUUGGAGGCUCUUAGCAGUUGGAGCAGGGAAGCGUUCAGCGGGUGCAGCCACGGCUGGAGGAGACAACGGCG